rnacentral:rRNA from 1 species
CUGGGUAACGCUAGCGGCAGGCCUAACACAUGCAAGUCGAGGGGUAACAGGAAAGCUUGCUUUCGCUGACGACCGGCGCACGGGUGCGUAACGCGUAUGCAACCUACCUCAUACUGGAGGAUAGCCCCUGGAAACGGGGAUUAAUACUCCAUAGUAUCACGAAUUCGCAUGUUUUUGUGAUUAAAGUUUUUCGGUAUGAGAUGGGCAUGCGUCCCAUUAGCUUGUUGGUGAGGUAACGGCUCACCAAGGCAACGAUGGGUAGGGGGCCUGAGAGGGUGGUCCCCCACACUGGUACUGAGACACGGACCAGACUCCUACGGGAGGCAGCAGUGAGGAAUAUUGGUCAAUGGAGGCAACUCUGAACCAGCCAUGCCGCGUGAAGGAUGACGGCCCUAUGGGUUGUAAACUUCUUUUAUAGAGGAAGAAACUUGUCUACGUGUAGACAACUGACGGUACUCUACGAAUAAGGAUCGGCUAACUCCGUGCCAGCAGCCGCGGUAAUACGGAGGAUCCAAGCGUUAUCCGGAUUCAUUGGGUUUAAAGGGUCCGUAGGCGGGUCUUUAAGUCAGUGGUGAAAGCCGACAGCUCAACUGUCGAACUGCCAUUGAUACUGGAGACCUUGAGUACAAAUGAAGUAGGCGGAAUGAGUCAUGUAGCGGUGAAAUGCAUAGAUAUGACUCAGAACACCGAUUGCGAAGGCAGCUUACUAACAUGUAACUGACGCUGAGGGACGAAAGCGUGGGGAGCGAACAGGAUUAGAUACCCUGGUAGUCCACGCCGUAAACGAUCAUCACUCGCUGUUGGCGAUAUACUGUCAGCGGCCAAGCGAAAGUAUUAAGUGAUGCA